UACGGAGGGUGCAAGCGUUAUCCGGAUUCACUGGGUUUAAAGGGUGCGUAGGUGGGUUGGUAAGUCAGUGGUGAAAUCCCCGAGCUUAACUUGGGAACUGCCAUUGAUACUAUCAGUCUUGAAUACCGUGGAGGUCAGCGGAAUAUGUCAUGUAGCGGUGAAAUGCUUAGAUAUGACAUAGAACACCAAUUGCGAAGGCAGCUGGCUACACGAAUAUUGACACUCAGGCACGAAAGCGUGGGGAGUCAA
rnacentral:rRNA from 1 species